ensembl:lncRNA
AUAACAGCAGAGAUAUAACUAGAUAAACUUGGCAGAACAUUUUCACAGUUUACAGUGUGUUGCAAUUAAACCAUUGCACUUAGCUGGCCGGCGGACAGGGACACAAGUAGGCAGAACAUAACGGAAGCAGAUAGAAGAACGUUAAAUCCCCAUGUUGGUUUCUGACUCAAGCACUCCUAAAACUAAUGGUUCAUUUUUUUUUUUUAAAGUGAAAAUUAAAGAAGAAACAUAAGGCGAGCAGUUGACAGCAGCUGAACAGGCCUACUGCUGUGUUAGAAUCUGGCAAGUUUUGAUGAUGGCAGGCUGUUCCCAGCGGUGACUGGAAGCCCGUGCACAUCGAGAAGCCUGAAGCAACACCAGCAGUAAGCCACUGAGACAGGCCACUCUGGAAAGAAGAAGAAGAAGAGAUGAAGACAGAGAGUAUUGGAAUAAACAACUGUUUGUUUGUUUUUUUUUUUAAAGGAGGACUUUUGUCAGAAAGCCGAAGAGAAAGUAGUGCAGAGUAACUUCAGUAUGUGUGUCUGUGUAUGUGUGUUUGUGCGUGUCUGCGCACAUGUCUGCUGUAAGCGUGUGUGGGUCAUUGUGAGUGUGUUAAUUUCUAUCUUUAUUCUAAAAAAAUAUAUCUUUAAAAUUUAUUCAGCACCUUGUGUUUGAUGAGUUCAGCCAUCAGAAGACCUGAGGCUGCUUAUUGCCAUUUAACUCUUGUGUGAACCACAAUCCUAAAAUUCAACUGAUGUCAGUGCAUUGACCAGAGUGAUAACAACCAUUACAAUGAUCGUCAUAGAACAGCAGGACUAAUAACUCUGUAACCAACAGUCCCCCAAGUGCUCUGACAGUGAUUCGAGUCAAGUUUUUUGUUUCUACAUGUAUUCAGUAUGCGGUGAUGCUGAUGGCGGCACAAGCCUGGCUCACUUUCAGACCACUUGAGACCUACUCAGGCCCAGACUUUCAAAUCCAAGGAUGAGAAAACUCCCAAUGACCUCAGCCAUUACAGAUCGCAUGAAUUUCCACAACUUCAAAAAGCUACUUUCGGUUCGGAUCUAGUGCCAUCUAUCGUUGUGUCGGAUUGGUCUAUUUUCAAAUGGUGGAUGUAUCAUUUUGAAACCCAUCUUCAUGUUUUCAUACAAUCAAAACCCAGAGAUAAAAGAGCGAGAAAAGCAGUAGAGAGACUUUAAAAUUCCUGUUCUCAAGAGGGUCUGUGCAACGUUGUGAAUCGUCUACUGUUGAAAACAUUCCCACAGCACUAAAUACUGAUGUCAGAUGCUGUCCGGAGGUGACUAAACUUCUCUCUGCGAAGGGCAACAUGUAGAUAUUUUUGUUUAUUUUUCUGUUGCUAUGGCCAGAGGGGAGGGGAAAAAAACAACUUGAUUCCCAAUCCAUGUAGCAGCCAAUGUACAAUACAACUGGGAUGUAAUUCAAUGCAUGCAAAAUGUAAAACGUUGCAUUCACUUGCCUUUUUGAAACCUAUUUCUUGCGCGUUUUGGCAAUAGAGCUGCUUUCUAGUGAUAGCUUCGUAAUGCAUUACUGGACAUGCUUGUAAAUGACCAAAGAGGUCACCUUUUAGUGCUGAACUGGCUUCCUCACAACAUCUUAUUUUUUCAUCAAAGAAGUGAAAAAAACCUUUCAACCUUUUGAUACCUAGAUAUUAUAUUAAUCACCGCUGUAUAACAACCUCAUCUGUAGUGUCUUCAGAGUGUCUGAAGUGUGUCUGUAGCACCAUAAGACGAGCAAAGAGAAGACAAGCUCCACUUUCCUGUGCUGGCACUGAGAUUGGCCCUGAGUAACAUUUCUCUUUAAGAUGAAAAACACAGCACUCAAUGCUAAGCUAUUCCUCUGUUAGUUCUUGUUGGUUUGAGC